rnacentral:tRNA from 1 species
ACGUCAGAAGCUCAACAGGCUGAGCACCGGUCUCCAAAACCGUAGGUUGUAGGUUCGAAUCCUAUCUGACGUGCCA